GACGGACGCUGGCGGCGUGCUUAACACAUGCAAGUCGAACGGAAAGGCCCUGCUUUUGUGGGGUGCUCGAGUGGCGAACGGGUGAGUAACACGUGAGUAACCUGCCCUUGACUUUGGGAUAACUUCAGGAAACUGGGGCUAAUACCGGAUAGGAGCUCCUGCUGCAUGGUGGGGGUUGGAAAGUUUCGGCGGUUGGGGAUGGACUCGCGGCUUAUCAGCUUGUUGGUGGGGUAGUGGCUUACCAAGGCUUUGACGGGUAGCCGGCCUGAGAGGGUGACCGGCCACAUCGGGACUGAGAUACGGCCCAGACCCCUACGGGAGGCAGCAGUGGGGAAUAUUGCACAAUGGGCGGAAGCCUGAUGCAGCAACGCCGCGUGCGGGAUGACGGCCUUCGGGUUGUAAACCGCUUUCGCCUGUGACGAAGCGUGAGUGACGGUAAUGGGUAAAGAAGCACCGGCUAACUACGUG
rnacentral:rRNA from 1 species